rnacentral:rRNA from 1 species
GUCGAGAAUCUUUCGCAAUGGGGGAAACCCUGACGAAGCGACGCCGCGUGCAGGAUGAAGGCCUUCGGGUUGUAAACUGCUGUCAGCUGGGAAGAAUAAGUCUGUUGCGAAUAACAACAGGCCUUGACGGUACCAGCAGAGGAAGCCACGGCUAACUCUGUGCCAGCAGCCGCGGUAAGACAGAGGUGGCAAGCGUUGUUCGGAUUUAUUGGGCGUAAAGGGUCCGUAGGCGGUCUGGAAAGUCGGAUGUGAAAUCCUACAGCUUAACUGUAGAACUGCAUUCGAAACUUCCGGACUUGAGUAUGAGAGGGGUAAAGGGAAUUCCCGGUGUAAGGGUGAAAUCUGCAGAGAUCGGGAGGAACACCAGUCGCGAAGGCGCUUUACUGGCUCAUUACUGACGCUCAGGGACGAAAGCCAGGGGAGCAAACGGGAUUAGAUACCCGAGUAGUCC